UUCUGAGAGAACUGUUGCAGAAGUACUGUUGAAAGAAGUGUUUUGUAGGUUUGGAAACAUCAACAGUGACAGGGGCCCUCAUUUCACUGGAAAAAUAAUCAAGGAACUAAAUAAACAGUGCUCUGCUUUGGACAUUAAGCAACACUUCCUCUGUCCCUACCACUCCUGACUGGUGGAGCGACAGAAUGACAUUUCAAUUCACUGGUUGGACAUGGGCCGUCUGGGUAGAGGUAUAAGCACUCGCCUACCACAGCAGAGACUGGGGUUCAAUCCCUGGAGGCAGUACGUCCGGCUUGGUCAGUCACGUCCCUACGCCACAGUUGGCAGUGUUUGCAGGUGGGAAGCCGGUGACUGUGAGAAGGGUACCCUUUCAUCUGACGACCAUUAAAGCUCUCACCCGCCACACCUCAGUAUGAGGCACAUCUUGGUGAAACUCAGCGCCAGGAUUUUAGAAGACGAUGAUGGGGACGUGCCUGCAGACUGCACCACUGCACCAUGAAGCGAAAGGUUCCAGGCUCUUACCCCAAUCCCACACAAGAGCUCAGUGUGAGAAAAAGAGAGGGGGUUCUGGAGAAGUGGAGAAAGGGAAGAGAGAGAGAGAGUCGUCGCUGCAGAAUGAGUAAAGAAGCUGUGCAGCUCUAAAUGGAGACUGGUCAUUUUCCACAAGUGUGUCCCAAGCCACAAAAAUGGGACAACUCCUCAGAAAUGCCCACACAUUGGCAAGGGAAGGUCAGCCUUUCAAAGUAUUUGAAUGGGCUUUAUCUGGCGGGCAGGAGCAGCUGGGGGCUUUCAGGAGUGCUGGGGCAGCAUGACUGGGCCCAUGCGUGGGGUUGUCAUACAUCUGGUUUUUGACUGGAAUGUUUUCAAAUUCAAAUUCAGAUUCUAAAUCUGGCAACCCUAUGACGGGGAGGAGUUGCUGCCAAGCUGAAAGAGAAGACAAGAAGACUGAUUGAUUGACUGAAGACACCUCACCUGUUUGCCUUCCUCUGCAUGGCCCACUGGAUGGAGCUGGUCUGUGAAGAAGCCAUCAGAGGCCUACGCCCCCAGCAAGGCCUGGACACACCGCUACAUGGGCUCAACGCUCUUCAUCACCAAAGCCCACUGUGCCCUUCCAGCUUGGAAGCUGCCCACAGAAACAUGGGCACGAGGCCUCUCAUGCCAACACGUAGGGGUGGCAUCCGCUGGACUGAACAUCACCAGAGCGCCCUGGACUACUUCCUCUGCGGCUCCGAGGUCCUUGAGCAGGUCUGUCAUUCUGCUCUACCUCAAUGAUUUAUUUCACAGUUCAGUGAGUGACGAUUGUGUACAUUUUUAGCUAUGAUCCCCUAAAAAGUGCACAUGAGCAAUGACCCAGAGUAGGCUGGCUUCCUCAAGCUGGCCAAGUCAAAGGCGGGCAUGGCUUGUGCCUGCUUCAUGAAGGAGCACCUGACCAGGCCAUCCAGGCUUAUUCAGAGGAGGGACUGCAGCCUUUGCUGAUGUGCUGACUGGACUGGAGGAGCCCAAAGAUGGAGGUCAGAGAGUACCAGACUCGGUCCUCAGUUUCGGAUUGGCAGAGAGAGGAGAGGGAAAGUUCCAGAAGGAUUCUCAUACAGGGCGCAGUCCUGGGGAGGCAGUGUCAUCCUCCUGGAUUUGGGGUGAAGACGGCGAUGUACAGACAACAGCCCGUGACAUCGGGAGAUUUCACCCUCGCCCCCCAACCACCCUGAGAUGGUUUGUGCCCCUGCGUGUAGAGAUAUCUCCACCACGCUGCAUAAGGAAGCAAAGAACCGCACAGCCCUGAAGAGAGAGAGCCCCUGCAUUUCUCCGCUCUUCCAGGGCUGAGACCAAUCAGCGGCAUCGAGAACCUGCCUGCCCUUACUGACCUCCUCCUCCUCCUCCCUCCUCCUCCUUCCUCCCCCUUCUCCUCCUCCUCCUCCUCACCCUGCCAUCUUAUGGCAACUGAGUGCUGGGGGGGGGGAUGCAGGGGGGGUGUCCGACUCCGUAACUCCACGAGGACGAUGGAAUCAGACAGGAGAGAACGACGGACCUCCGGCACGCUGAACGACCCGAUGACUGUGCCGAUGCGUUCACCAGCGGCCAUCUUCUUCCGGGCCGACGGACGCCGCGAACGCGCCGUACAGAAAGAGCCGGCGGGGAGGAGGAGGCCGCCGAAGAAGAGCCGUCGGAUAUCUAUGGUUUAGAUUAUAUCUAUGGUUUAGAUUAUGUCUAUGGUUUAGAUUAUGUCUAUGGUUUAGAUUAUGUCUGUGGUUUAGAUUAUGUCUGUGGUUCAGAUUAUGUCUAUGGCAGGGGUGCACAGCAAGGGCCAAUCCAUUUCAGGACUUUGUGCGGACGUUUGCCAACAUUUAUUUAGUUAGCCCAAUCAUAUCCUGAUCUGAGGUGUGUAUAAGCACCAGCUACAGCCGCAGGACUGCAAGUGUAUCCUAGAGACUGUACUGUGCUCAAGUACAGGAGUGAAGCAGUGUAGUUUAUAGAGCGGUAAGAAAUGGUAGUCGGUUGGAACAAAAACCAGCACACAAAUCAGCCCUGCAGGACUGGAGAUGUGCACCCCUGGUCUAUGGUCUUCAAGAGAGAAAGAGAGAACGAGACUAUAUAUUCAGAUAGGAAAAACCUAUUUAUGAUCCAUACAAUAUUACAUUAUUACAAAGUAGUCCGCUUUGGUUGACCUGACUGUAUGUACAAUGUCAUAUGUUCCCUCUUAAUAUCUGGUUUAAUGUCUUUAUUUUUGCAAAUUAUAAGUAGUAAGCCUACAUUCAAUAAUGAAUGUAUGAUUUAAAUUCAUUAUUCUAGUUUAGAUUUUUUCCAUGUAAGAAAAGUGAUUUAAUUUUAAAACCUGAUAUAGAGUUUGUUUAGACUCGUUGUUUAAUUACACCGGGUUACUGUUCGACCGACCUGUUAAUGAAUUUGGUGAUUUAAUUGAUUUUCAUUUCUAAUAAUAAUUAUUAAAUGAAGUCACAUUAUAAAUGUAGGUUAAGUGAGGGGUUUUAGCACACAAUACUGUGUGGUCAGCAUGCUGAACAUCUUAGCAAGGGCACUGACUGUUGGAACCACUGGAUUCGGAAAGUAAACAUAUUUUACUUAAUCCUCGCUUCCCUGAAAGAAUGAAGAGGAUGGAGUUGUGGGGGAAGAAGAAAAAGAAGAGAGGAGGAUGCUUUUAAUUAGUGUACACAUUGAAAAUGCAAUUAUUUUGAAAUCGUUAAUGAACAAUUUAAUC